AGGCAUCUCUCUGACAGACCUGGAGCAGUUAUCUCUGCUUUUAAGGUUUCCACUAAGAUGCAAGAAAAAUUUUCCUCGAGCUUUCUCUCUUCAUGAUUGUCGCUAUCUAGAUUGAAUAGUGAAAUACAAGA
rnacentral:snoRNA from 1 species